UUAAGCGACUAAGCGUACACGGUGGAUGCCCUGGCAGUCAGAGGCGAUGAAGGACGUGCUAAUCUGCGAAAAGCGUCGGUAAGGUGAUAUGAACCGUUAUAGCCGGCGAUGUCCGAAUGGGGAAACCCAGUGUGAUUCGUCACACUAUCGUUAACUGAAUACAUAGGUUAACGAGGCGAACCGGGGGAACUGAAACAUCUAAGUACCCCGAGGAAAAGAAAUCAACCGAGAUUCCCCCAGUAGCGGCGAGCGAACGGGGAGCAGCCCAGAGUCUGAAUCAGCUUGUGUAUUAGUGGAACGGUCUGGAAAGUCCGACGGUACAGGGUGAUAGUCCCGUACACCAAAAUGCACAGGCUGUGAACUCGAAGAGUAGGGCGGGACACGUGGUAUCCUGUCUGAAUAUGGGGGGACCAUCCUCCAAGGCUAAAUACUCCUGACUGACCGAUAGUAAACCAGUACCGUGAGGGAAAGGCGAAAAGAACCCCGGCGAGGGGAGUGAAAAAGAACCUGAAACCGUGUACGUACAAGCAGUGGGAGCACCUUCGGGUGUGACUGCGUACCUUUUGUAUAAUGGGUCAGCGACUUAUAUUCUGUAGCAAGGUUAACCGUAUAGGGGAGCCGCAGGGAAACCGAGUCUUAACUGGGCGUUAAGUUGCAGGGUAUAGACCCGAAACCCGGUGAUCUAGCCAUGGGCAGGUUGAAGGUUGGGUAACACUAACUGGAGGACCGAACCGACUAAUGUUGAAAAAUUAGCGGAUGACUUGUGGCUGGGGGUGAAAGGCCAAUCAAACCGGGAGAUAGCUGGUUCUCCCCGAAAGCUAUUUAGGUAGCGCCUCGUGAAUUCAUCUUCGGGGGUAGAGCACUGUUUCGGCUAGGGGGUCAUCCCGACUUACCAACCCGAUGCAAACUACGAAUACCGAAGAAUGUUAUCACGGGAGACACACGGCGGGUGCUAACGUCCGUCGUGAAGAGGGAAACAACCCAGACCGCCAGCUAAGGUCCCAAAGUCAUGGUUAAGUGGGAAACGAUGUGGGAAGGCACAGACAGCCAGGAUGUUGGCUUAGAAGCAGCCAUCAUUUAAAGAAAGCGUAAUAGCUCACUGGUCGAGUCGGCCUGCGCGGAAGAUGUAACGGGGCUAAACCAUGCACCGAAGCUGCGGCAGCGACACUAUGUGUUGUUGGGUAGGGGAGCGUUCUGUAAGCCUGCGAAGGUGACCUGUGAGGGUUGCUGGAGGUAUCAGAAGUGCGAAUGCUGACAUAAGUAACGAUAAAGCGGGUGAAAAGCCCGCUCGCCGGAAGACCAAGGGUUCCUGUCCAACGUUAAUCGGGGCAGGGUGAGUCGACCCCUAAGGCGAGGCCGAAAGGCGUAGUCGAUGGGAAACAGGUUAAUAUUCCUGUACUUGGUGUUACUGCGAAGGGGGGACGGAGAAGGCUAUGUUAGCCGGGCGACGGUUGUCCCGGUUUAAGCAUGUAGGCUGGUUGUCCAGGCAAAUCCGGAUAAUCAAGGCUGAGGUGUGAUGACGAGGUACUACGGUGCUGAAGUAACAAAUGCCCUGCUUCCAGGAAAAGCCUCUAAGCAUCAGGUAACAUCAAAUCGUACCCCAAACCGACACAGGUGGUCAGGUAGAGAAUACCAAGGCGCUUGAGAGAACUCGGGUGAAGGAACUAGGCAAAAUGGUGCCGUAACUUCGGGAGAAGGCACGCUGGUGUGUAGGUGAAGUCCCUGCGGAUGGAGCUGAGACCAGUCGAAGAUACCAGCUGGCUGCAACUGUUUAUUAAAAACACAGCACUGUGCAAACACGAAAGUGGACGUAUACGGUGUGACGCCUGCCCGGUGCCGGAAGGUUAAUUGAUGGGGUUAUCCGUAAGGAGAAGCUCUUGAUCGAAGCCCCGGUAAACGGCGGCCGUAACUAUAACGGUCCUAAGGUAGCGAAAUUCCUUGUCGGGUAAGUUCCGACCUGCACGAAUGGCGUAAUGAUGGCCAGGCUGUCUCCACCCGAGACUCAGUGAAAUUGAACUCGCUGUGAAGAUGCAGUGUACCCGCGGCAAGACGGAAAGACCCCGUGAACCUUUACUAUAGCUUGACACUGAACAUUGAGCCUUGAUGUGUAGGAUAGGUGGGAGGCUUUGAAGCGUGGACGCCAGUCUGCGUGGAGCCAACCUUGAAAUACCACCCUUUAAUGUUUGAUGUUCUAACGUUGGCCCCUGACCGGGGUUGCGGACAGUGUCUGGUGGGUAGUUUGACUGGGGCGGUCUCCUCCCAAAGCGUAACGGAGGAGCACGAAGGUUAGCUAAUCCUGGUCGGACAUCAGGAGGUUAGUGCAAUGGCAUAAGCUAGCUUGACUGCGAGCGUGACGGCGCGAGCAGGUGCGAAAGCAGGUCAUAGUGAUCCGGUGGUUCUGAAUGGAAGGGCCAUCGCUCAACGGAUAAAAGGUACUCCGGGGAUAACAGGCUGAUACCGCCCAAGAGUUCAUAUCGACGGCGGUGUUUGGCACCUCGAUGUCGGCUCAUCACAUCCUGGGGCUGAAGUAGGUCCCAAGGGUAUGGCUGUUCGCCAUUUAAAGUGGUACGCGAGCUGGGUUUAGAACGUCGUGAGACAGUUCGGUCCCUAUCUGCCGUGGGCGCUGGAGAAUUGAGGGGGGCUGCUCCUAGUACGAGAGGACCGGAGUGGACGCAUCACUGGUGUUCGGGUUGUCAUGCCAAUGGCACUGCCCGGUAGCUAAAUGCGGAAGAGAUAAGUGCUGAAAGCAUCUAAGCACGAAACUUGCCCCGAGAUGAGUUCUCCCUGAGACUUUAAGUCUCCUGAAGGAACGUUGAAGACGACGACGUUGAUAGGCCGGGUGUGUAAGCGCAGCGAUGCGUUGAGCUAACCGGUACUAAUGAACCGUGAGGCUUAACCUU
rnacentral:rRNA from 2 species